rnacentral:rRNA from 1 species
CCUACGGGUGGCAGUAGUGAGGAAUAUUGCGCAAUGGGGGCAACCCUGACGCAGCGACGCCGCGUGAGUGAGGAAGGCCUUCGGGUCGUAAAGCUCUGUCAAAGGGAAAGAAGUGCAUGGUGGCUAAUACCUGCCAUGUUUGACGGUACCCUUAAAGGAAGCACCGGCUAACUCCGUGCCAGCAGCCGCGGUAAUACGGAGGGUGCAAGCGUUGUUCGGAAUCACUGGGCGUAAAGGGCGCGUAGGCGGUUUGAUAAGUCAGAUGUGAAAGCCCACGGCUUAACUGUGGAAGUGCAUUUGAAACUGGCAGACUUGAGUAUCAGAGGGGAAAGUGGAAUUCCCGGUGUAGAGGUGAAAUGCGCAGAGAUCAGGAGGAAUACCGAAGGCGAAGGCAGUCUUCUAAGCCGUAAUUGACGCUAAACUGCGAAGGUGUGGGUAUCAAACA